CAUCUCUUCAUCUCUCAUCUCUUCUUCUACUUCUUCGGUCGGCCCUCACAGUUCAAUCGACUUCUUCAUCUCUCAUAAUAUUCAAUCGAUUUCUUCAUCUCAUCUCAUCUCUUCACGGUCGGCCACUCAUGAUUUUCGUUCAACCAACGACGAUGUCGCUUCCAUCUCUGUCUGUCGUCUCUCUGUUCAUUGCGCGAUAAUCGAUUGUCUCUCUGUUCAUACAAGCUAAGGGAACUCAUCGUCAUCCAAUGCACUUGAAGCCUAAUGAUUCGAGGUGUUUUGCAUUAGAGGCGCAAGGAAUAUUGCUUAAGUCGCGUUACGUGCAGCAGACGAAUUGAGGACGCAUACGAGGCAGAGCAUAACAUGUGACCCUUAAUUUCGUCAAAAAUAAGCAAUUCAAGAAAAUUUGUUUAUUAGUCGUGUUUUCUUAUAGGAAAAUAAGUUAUUCAAUAAUAUUGAUCGAAUUAUGUAGAUAUUGUUGUAAAAUAUUCAUAGUUGCUAAUUUUUUGCUGAAAUUAAAAGUAGGGAUUAUCUUCGCUGGAGUUAGUUGUCAAAGGUGAUCAUCGACAAAUGGAAUCAUUGGAAAUGUUGGAGGGAGAGAAUUGUCUUUGUUCUAUUCAAAAUUCUAAUUUAUUUGAUUAGUGAAUCAUAUUUUGAUUUGUGAUUCAUACUCCAUGAUCUAUAAUUCAUAUUACUUUUACUCA